AAUAUUGCCAUGAAAGUGUACUUUAUGUAGCGGGUAUUAACUCACUUACUUAUGGACCAGGAAUAAUAAGAUCAGAAGGGUGGACAGUACGAAGGAGGAGGUAGCAGUGAUAGUGAGCAACAAGCAGAGACAGAAGAUUCGUGAUCCAAUCAGGUCGAAAUGGGAGGCUCGCCAUCAAUUAGGAAAAUCCAGCUCAAGUAAUGUUCAUAGUACGAAAGGAAAAAACAUUCAAUAUUGUGUAUCAAUAAUGAUGAACAAUUGUACACAAUACAGGAAACAAAUAAAAUACAUACAUAAGUGCCAUCAUCAUAAUAAAUGACAAUUUAGACAAAUACCUGUCCAUUCACGUGUUUCUCUCUCUUUUUGUCUUUCACAGGCACGUGCAACCAAAAUGGCGUCAGCGAACAGCAGUGAACACAACGCACCAUGUGGUUUUACAUAAUCACACUGCAAUGAACAAUCCAACCCAUAUAACAUCACAAUAUAACACCAUUUUGUCUCGUAUGGAUUAAACAAAUAAAAUGAUAUGACAUUUAAA